CCCGCCAUGGUCUUCUGGAAGUAAAUUAUAAAUUAGUACUUGCUACUAGUGAACCAUUUGUAUUAGCCGCACAAAUGUCAUCAUGUUUAUUAUAGCCCUUAUCCUUCGAGAACUCGACAUCAAUAGAAUUGGUGGGUUGUAUUCAAAACCAUGCAAAAAGUAGAUUUCGCUUUUCCACUAGUGAUCGAGAAGUCCUCGAUUUAAGUGAAGAGAUUUACCAAGAAGUUGAAGUGUCUACACCAAGAAAUGUUAUCUACUCAGAAGAUCUUGAUAAUGAAAGAAUACUUGUUCAUGGUGAUAUUGAAGAAGUAAAUGAAGUCUUAGAGGAUGGGGGAAAAUAAGAAAGGAAGAAGAAGAAAAAGAAGAUGAUGAUGAUUAUUAUUAUUAUUAGGAAUUUUUUUUAUGCACUUAUAGUGGGUUACUAAUUAUGACUCUAUAAUAUUAUCUUAUUAUGAAACUUUUAGGGGAUGUUUGGUUGGCAAGAGUAGAGUAGGAAUGAGGAGUGAUUGAAUGUAAACCCUUGUUUGGGUAUGCCUCAAUGCGAGUGGGAGAGUAAUGAAGAGCGAGUGAGUCACGUGUAAGAGAAGGAGUCCUAAUCACCACAUAUUGGGCGGAUUACACAAUCGUGGAUUUGAAAAUGACAAUUAUGCCCUUAAAUAUAAAAUGCUUUUCAAUUAGGUUUUCCUCAUCGUGCUAUGCAUCCCUUUGAACAAAGGUUUUAAGAUCUUGGCUUCAAUUCUCUGCCCCCAUUCCACAUGAAGACUUGGCCUUCUAUGAAGAUGAUUCCAAGCUCGAGUGAAUCCAAAGAUCUCAAAUUCCUCUGUGAUCCAAGAUUAAUUGAGACUGCAUCCCCAUAUAUUUUAUUGCCUUUUCACAUCACACGUCUUCAAAGGGGAAACUUGACAAGGAUUUAAGAUACUAGCCGAUGCUGCUGCUCGUGAUGAAGCCUGUGAAGCACAUGAGAAGGCACGCGAGGAUGCUCCCGCUAAAAUUGAGGAAAUGAAAGAAAAUGUUGCCACAAGUAAUUUUUGAGAUUGAUGGUUUUUCUAAUCAUUAGGCGAUGUUUAUUUUACAGGUUUUUUGUAACCAAAAUUUAUUU